AGGACGAACGCUGGCGGCGUGCUUAACACAUGCAAGUCGAACGGGGUAUCAGGGUAGUAAUACCCGAAGUACCUAGUGGCGAACGGGUGCGUAACACGUGAGCAACCUACCCCAGAGCUUGGAAUAACACCGGGAAACCGGUGCUAAUACCGAAUACUCUCAUUCGGCCGCAUGACUGAAUGAGGAAAGAUUUAUCACUCUGGGACGGGCUCGCGGCCUAUCAGCUUGUUGGUGAGGUAACGGCUCACCAAGGCUACGACGGGUAGCUGGUCUGAGAGGACGAUCAGCCACACUGGGACUGAGACACGGCCCAGACUCCUACGGGAGGCAGC
rnacentral:rRNA from 1 species